rnacentral:misc_RNA from 1 species
UCCGAGUUGACCCCGGCAGUCUCCUAUGAGUCCCCGGCAUAACCCGCUGGCAACAUAGAACGAGGGUUGCGCUCGUUGCGGGACUUAACCCAACAUCUCACGACACGAGCUGACGACAACCAUGCACCACCUGUGUGCGACCCUUACGGACCCCGCAUCUCUGCGAGAUUUCCGCACAUGUCAAGCCUUGGUAAGGUUCUACGCGUUGCGUCGAAUUAAGCCACAUGCUCCGCCGCUUGUGCGGGCCCCCGUCAAUUCCUUUGAGUUUUAGCCUUGCGACCGUACUCCCCAGGCGGGGCGCUUAAUGCGUUAGCUGCGGCACGGAGGGAGUGGAAUACCCCCCACACCUAGCGCCCAACGUUUACGGCGUGGACUAC